CCAGGCCAUGGGAGGCGGAGGUAGCAGUGAGCGAGAUCGUGCCACUGCACUCCAGCCUGGGCUACAGAGCAAGACUCUGUCUCAAAAAAAUAAAAAGAAAAAGAAGAAAGCAUGGGUAGCUGAAAUCAGCAGCCCAGUGUUGAAUCUUCAGCUGCAUGAAUUCCAGGAGCAGUUAUGGAGCAGAAGUGGCUUCUGAGUCCCCGAUGGCAACCCCGGCAGUGUGUUCUUGAAUUCAGCAGUCCUGACGGCAACCUUCCGAUUCCCAGUCCUCUGGCCCUUGUCACAAUUCUACAGCACCUUAUCCAUACAUUAAAAUCCAUUCUUCUUAAGAUACCUAGAGCAAUUGAUUUUCUGAACUGAACACUGACUGAUUCAUCCUCUUCAAAGUGUGGCUUUCAUAGCUGACCCCUGCCUUCUAUGUGGCCUCCACCAGACAGAGAAAUUGGGUCACCACUUCCUCUGACUUGGCUCCACCCCAUUACAACAGGCUGUAUCCUACUGGCCUGUGGCAGCCCCCAUCACACUGGUGACCCAGUUAGCUUCUGAUAAAGCCUGAAGUGUCAUUUCCCAGGCGUGCUGGGCCAG
rnacentral:lncRNA from 10 species